rnacentral:rRNA from 1 species
GAUCAUGGCUCAGGAUGAACGCUGGCGGCGUGCCUAACACAUGCAAAGUCGAACGGAGCAUAGAGGAAAGCGGCUUCGGCCAAUGGAAUCUAUCGCUUAGUGGCGGACGGGUGAGUAACGCGUGAGCAAUCUGCCUUUCAGGAGGGGGACAACACCGGGAAACUGGUGCUAAUACCGCAUAAAGUAUUUGAACCGCAUGAUUUAAAUACCAAAGAAGCAAUCCGCUGAAAGAUGAGCUCGCGUCUGAUUAGCUAGUUGGUGGGGUAAUGGCCUACCAAGGCGACGAUCAGUAGCCGGACUGAGAGGUUGAACGGCCACAUUGGGACUGAGAUACGGCCCAGACUCCUACGGGAGGCAGCAGUGGGGAAUAUUGCACAAUGGGGGAAACCCUGAUGCAGCAACGCCGCGUGAAGGAUGACGGUCUUCGGAUUGUAAACUUCUUUUCUUAAGGACGAUAAUGACGGUACUUAAGGAAUAAGCCACGGCUAACUACGUG